AAAAGUUCCAUUGAGAUUGAUGCUGUUGUGGCUACCAUGAUGAUGUAAAGUUCUAGGUAUUUGAAUUUUGAUGUUGGGAACCAUGUUUGUGAAAUGUAGGUGUUUGGAUUUUGAACAUGGAGUUUGAUGUUGUUGAAAAGGUGCCAUAGACCUAUAAUUAUGAAACCAAAACCAGGUCCAACAUGUCCUACAAGAGUGCCCAUAUAUAUGAAGAGAAUGAAAAUUUAAGGAUGUUCUAAUAUUAAAAUAAUGUUUUGGUUUUUAGAAGAUGGAAAUAUUAUGGGAGGGAAAAGAGGAGAGGUUUGGAUAGGUAAAGGGAUGGGGGGCAGCCUUGAAUUCCUAAUUGAGAAACUUAUAUAACCAUCCAAAGGGUUUAAAUUUGAAGUACACUCUUAUUUAUUUUAUUAUUUUGGGUAGACAAUACACUCUUAUUUCUAACCUUACACUUAUAUUAAUCAAAUACUAAUUUGAGUUUUAAAAAUUCUAACCUUACACUUAUCUUGAUAAAAUACUAAUUUGAAUUUCAAAAACAAAAAGAAAAUACUCCUCCGUCCCAAUUUGAUUGACACAGUUGACUAUUGUGCACUAUUCAUACAUAUUAUUUUGACCUUAUUUUACUACUAAUAAACAAAAAUAAAUAUUAGUAUAUAAAAUGGUGUUUGAUUCGUCUCGAAUAGUAUUGUUAAAAUAUCAAAUUUUUAUAAUUUUUACUAUUAUAUAAUUAAAAAUAUUAAUCGUCAAAGUUAUGUAUCGGCAUGCGUGAAACAGUCAACUGUGUCAAUCAAAUUGGGACGAAAGGAAUCUAUCAUUAAAUAAGUUAAAAGAUCAUAGAUUAAGUCAUGAUGAGGGCCUAACAUUAACAACUAAUCAUUAUCGUUGAUUUCUUUAAAAAAACAUUAACGUUGACUAUUUAAAAAAAAAUUGCUAAACAGUGCCCUCGACAUUAGUUAAGCAUAUAAAUAAGGAAAUUCUGUCUUAAAAUUAUAAUGUUUCAAAUUAUCAUCUAAAAACAAUUGAGAAGCCUGUUAGAUAAUAUUAUUAUAUUAUUUAAUGUAUAUUAGUAAGGGUAGUUUGGAUUAAUAAUUAUGUUUCUCAAUCAAUAGGCGUGUAACUAGCCAAAUAUGAUACUGCUAAGGAGGAUUGAGACAAUUUGAAACGUUUGUUUUUUCAGAAUCUAAUUUUGCAAAACGGUGUCAGCUGGAGAAUGACACUAGGGGUCUCAAACAAAAUAAUAUGACUAUUCACGAGUUCUAUUUGACGAUGAGUAAUUUGUGGGAUCAAUUGGCUUUGAUGGAAUGACUGAACUGAAAGUUGUCAAAGUUUAUAAUGUUCAAAGUGAAGAGCAACGUUUGGUUCAAUUUCCGAUGGCUCUAUGUCGGGGUAGUCUACAUCGUAAUCCUCGUCCCAAUGUUGAUUCGGUUGUUAGUGAAUUGUUGGCAGAAGAAAUUAGACUCAAAUCCAACUUAAAUUCAUUUUUAGAUAAAUGAAUACUGUCUACUGCUCCAGUUGUUUUUGCUGCUCCAUUUCACAAAGGAAAACCUUCGGGAAGAGUUGGUCUUAGUAUUGAUGAAUGUGUUUUUUGUGAGGAGAAAGGUUAAUGUCCCAAGAAGUUGAGAGCAAAUUUCAAGAGUCCAUCAUCCAAUGUUGCUGCCGUUGAUGCUCCUACCAUUGGUUCUGGUUCUAAUCAUGUAUUCUCAUCUGAGACUACUCAAAUAUCUUAUAUUGCAGAGCAACUUCAAAAGUUUUUUGCCACUCAGUCACUUGUCAUGUGUGCCAUCAUCUGUUAAAGGUUUGAACUCUUCUUGUGUGUGUCAGGUAUAUCUCCUUCCACACAGAUUCUUGACUCUGGAGCAUCACACCAUAUGUCAUAUGAUGAUAAAUUAUUUAAUUUGUUUAUUUGAAUACUGCACCAUCUAUGUCGGUGAUGGCACUCCUAUGUCAUUAGUAGGCAUUGGUUCUGUCUCCACACCUAAUAUGUGUCAUUUUCGAUGUUUAUUAUAUAUUUCUAACCUCACUUUUUGCUUUUGUUAGUCAAUUGUGUGAUUCUCGUAUAUGUAGUAGUCAACGCAGACAAACUUGUUCUUCAUUGUAAAUGUAUUUAUGUGACUAUUUUUUAUUGAUCGUUGAAUAAAUUAUCCUACAAUUUUUUUAAGACUAAUGUAGAAAAUUAAAUAUCAUAUCCAUGCAAAUAAUAUUUCUUUCAUAUUUCCACAAAAGUACAUAUAAACAUUGAAAAUCCAAACAUAAAAAAAAACAAUAUCCACCCAUCCUCUAAAAGAGUUUCCUUAAGCCAGCCUUUCUUGUUAACACAUUAUUAAUUAUUAAUGUACAUUGAUCGAACUAUUCUUAUAGUAAAAUACAUAUACAAGUAANNNNNNNNNNNNNNNNNNNNNNNNNNNNNNNAUAUACAAGUAUACAACAUGUAGUGAAAGCAACAAGUAAUCACAAAUUAAAGUUCAUAUAAAAAAUAAAAGUGCUCAUAUAAUUAAAUUCAGUUUUCUAUACCAUAUAGUAUCCUAAUUUCUUCAUUCUUUUUUUCUACCUCUCUAUGUCAAGAGAUGAAAAAGUUUUUUUCCCCACAUGAAUAAAGUUAUUUGGGUUUUGAGACUCCGCAUCAUUAUUAAACUUUUCAACAUGAUCUUCUUUCUCUUUCUCUUUCUCUUUCUCUUCGAUCCCCAAAGAAAAAUACCUAACCUUAAAAUCUCCAUCAUAGAAUUUGGUCAAAACCAAAUACAAAGAAACACCAAAAAUAGUUACAAUAAUUAUAAACCAACUAAAAAAAAUAUUAAUAAGUGAAAGAGCACGAUGAAGUGAUUCAUGAUCAUAACAUCUCACAACUUUAUGACCAUCCUCAGGAUUCAAAAAACAACCUUUGGAAACUAAACUUGGUGUCCAAAGCAUGAUCCCCAUAAAACUAUUCCAUAAGCCUUGAGAAAAUAUACUUAAUGAUCUCACAAAAUUAAUUACGAAGCUUUUUUGAAUGAAAAUUCCCAAGAGGGUAGUUGAAAGAGAAACAAAGACAAGAAUUUGGAAGUGAAGAUGAUAUUGUCCUUCGGGUCCCGUGUGAUCGGUUGAAUGAAGAUGGAAGAGAAGAAGUUCUUGAAAANNNNNNNNNNNNNNNNNNNNNNNNNNNNNNNNNNNNNNNNNNNNNUUCAAUUUUGUCGAGGAUGAUGGAGAAGACGGCAUAGACGAAGAAAGUCAUGGAGAUCGAAGCGUGCUCGAAGUUAUGGAGAUGGUUUGAGGGAAUUGUACCGUCUGGAUCGAAGGGUUGGUGUCGGUCAGGAAGUAUGAAAAGUUCCAUUGAGAUUGAUGUUGUUGUGGCUACCAUGAUGAUGUAAAGUUCAAGGUAUUUGAAUUUUGAUGUUGGGAACCAUGUUUGUGAAAUGUAGGUAUUUGGAUUUUGAACAUGGAGUUUGAUGUGGUUGAAAAGGUGCCAUAGUCCUAUAAUUAAGAAAGCAAAACCAGGAGCAACAUGUCCAACAAGAGAACCCAUAUAUGAAGUGAAUGAAAGAUUUAAGGAUGUUCUA
rnacentral:lncRNA from 1 species